rnacentral:rRNA from 1 species
UGGGGAAUAUUGCACAAUCGGCGCAAGACUGAUGCAGCCAUGCCGCGUGUAUGAAGAAGGCCUUCGGGUUGUAAAGUACUUUCAGCGGGGAGGAAGGGAGUACAGUUAAUACCUUUGCUCAUUGACGUUACCCGCAGAAGAAGCACCGGCUAACUCCGCUCCAGCAGCCGUGGUAAUACGGAGGGUGCAAGCGUUAAUCCGAAUUACUGGGCGUAAAGAGCACGCAGGCGGUUUGUUAAGUCAGAUGUGAAAUCCCCGAGCUCAACCUGGGAACUGCAUAUAAUACUGGCAAGCGUGAGUCUCGUAGAGGGGGGUAGAAUUCCAGCUGUAGCGGUGAAAUGCGUAGAGAUAUGGAGGAAUACCGGUGUCGAAGGCGGCACCCUGAACGAGGAAUGACGCUAAGGUGCGAACGCGUGGGGAGCAAACAGU